rnacentral:lncRNA from 1 species
GGACGCUGUUUUGCCGGUGUUCAUUUUCGACAGACGACGGAGAGCUGGCUGCAACAGAUUGGUGCGCCAAGUAGGGGGGAAAGCAAUCGUAUUCACUAUGGCAAAAAUCAAAACCCAGUAUUCUACUGCUACCGGGUCAGCGAGACACUUUUUCCAUCGAGAAGAGGUUCCUCCCCCUCCUCUAAUAGUAGAGCCUAGU